rnacentral:lncRNA from 1 species
UUGUUUCUGUCUUUAGAUGACAUUCCCUGUGUAGCAUUGUCCCCAUGGGUGGGCAAACUAACGACAUCGAAGUUGAAGUUGGUCUUCCCAAUUAGGUCUUGAAGUGCCUUCUGAUCGCAAGUCCAACUUCCACUUAUCAAACUGAAGUUAUAUAGGGGAAGAAAACGUUGUCCAUAUGUAGCUAGGAACUCCAGCGCAGCUAAAAUGAACUCCAGUUCAUCGUUUGACAUGUAGUAGGGAAAGCUGAUUCUAGUCCACCCUGGUUUCACUCCAAGAUAGUCCUGUACAUAAAUUUUUUUAGAACCAUUAGUAAUCUUAAACUCUCCGUUAAACGUUGAACAUUCUAAGAAAAGGUUUCGUUUCGGACUGUAUGACACCAUAAGUAAAUCUUAUGUUUGCCGAAUUGGGUAUUUUGACCAUACAUCAGGAUGUGCAAUUUAGAUUUACAAUCUAUCGCCAUAAGUCUGGCAAGAGAACAUUACCCGAGCGUGGAAAACUUAGCGUGGUAGGAGAAGUUGAAGAUGAAUUGGAUUAGGAAUUACCUUCUGAAUGGAAGAUCUAUAGGCAUGUGAAACAGUGUGAUCAAUUUUGAGGAGCUUGUGACCAUAGGGUCCAGCACAAGCGCAGCCGCCUCGAGCCUGAAUACCGAAUAGAUCAUUGAGCAGAGCUGCGACGAAACCCCCAUGAAGUGGCUUGCCUCUGCUGUUUCCCGUCUCUCCCCACAUGUAGAGCCCUUGGUCAGCUCCCUCUCUGCCAAUAUCUGUUUUCGUGGCAGCCGUUGAUGAGCAAUUGGUCGUAGAAUAAACGAGGAAGGACAAAAUGGCUAGUCUUUUGGCGGUCGUAUUUCCUAAAAUCCAUAUGUUUUGGUUAGGGAGAAGCCUCUCUAGUGCCCUUUUAACAUGGAGUUGCUCUUGCUUUUCAAUGAUUUGAUAACCAAUGUAUUCCUUCACCCAGAAAGCCAAGGCUGCUCUAAUUGUUUGGAUGAUUUGAGGAGUACCGCCGUUUUCCCUCUCUUCUAUGUCCUCGCAGUACACUGUGUCCUGCAUUUGUCACAUAAUAUAUGAACUUGCACAUAUAAUAAAACUACAACAUAUGUGAUGUUAGUUGCCAUUAAACCGCUCCGUUAGAGAAAAUCUCGAGUUCAAAUCUCAUGCCCUUUAAUUUGAAUGGUCACAUAAAUGAUAGAAUUGGUUUAAUAAAUGCCUGAACACAACAUUUCUUUUUUAAUUUUUGUUAAUAAUGAUUGUCAUUGAUAAUGUAUGAAUGUAAUAUUAAGAGAAAAUUGGAAUAUUGGUUUUUGAAUUUUAACCUAAUUGGACUGUGAGUAUUAAGACUUGAACUUGUUACAAUGUGGAGCGAUGAUCUCUUCCGGUAACUCUGUUCGAACUCAUGUUCUUAGUUUUUCCUUUUAACCUUUUAUUUUAGAUGAAAAUUCUAAUGGUGUUACCUAGGAGGACUGUUGCUACAUGAAUCAAUGCUCCAAUUAUCAGUAACAUUAAUUAAGACAUAGCUGUAAAUUAAUGACAUAAUGAAAAAUUAAACAAUCAUAAAGCAGCAGAAGGACAUUGCUUUGUUUGUGUGGUGCCAAGAUGACCAAGUCAGAUGCUAUGAAUCUAGAACCAGAUCACAUGAUUUUCGUUAUUAAUUGACAAUUAAUUUAAUCCUAACUUUUGGCAAAACCAAAAAUUAGUACUUGGAUUAAGGAAUACCUCAGGAUUGAAGCCAUUGACGUAAGCAACAGUCCCACCUCCACAAGUUGAUGGGGGAAAAGACUUGAGCCGAUACAGUGCCUUGCUCAUCACAAGUAUGCCUGGGGUUCCGGGCCCACCUACAAACUUGUGUGGGCUCAGGAAAAUACCAUCGUACCCGUCUAUCUGUCCACUCCUCAUCUCAAUUUCCACAUACGGCCCACUGUAUUUUGUCGCACACCGAAUCAAUACCAACACGAGAAAAACUCAGUUUAAUUAAAUAACAACAGGUAUCAGUAUACCAACAUCGCUUGUAUACGAACAAAAUUAAUUUAAUUAAUUCGACCACUUUUUUUGUACAAUUUAAUUUAACCAAUUUUUUUUUUCAAUUUAAUUAAUUAAGAACAAAAUUAAUUCAAUUAAUUUGACCAAUUUUUUGUUUAAUUUAAUUAAAUAAGAACAAGUAGCAGUUUACCAAACUAGUUGAUAAAAAAUCAUAAAAAUAAAAAAAUUUGCAGUUUUUAGUUGGAAUGUCCAAAGGUUCUACUUGCAUUUGACUUUAUAUUUUUAACAAAGGCAUUGAGGUUCUUCUGCGAUCGAUUCAUCUCUCCUGAUAUGGCUUGUAUGCAAAAACAAGAUGAAAGAAAACGAGUGGUGGGGUGUAGUCGGUUUACCUUGCUGCGAAAUCAAAGCAUGCAAAGCCGCCAUAUUGAUGAAGAAGUCGAGCGAUUGCUCGUGUAUCCGAAUAAAUUCCGGUCACAUUGCUACAAGCCGAGAAGGAACCCAAAAUCGGGCGGUUGGAGUACUUGUAUGACUCGAGUUGUAGUCUAAGAGCCUCCAUGUCCAACAAGCCAUCCUCGUCCAGACCGAUCUCGAUCACUUGAGCUAAGCUUUGCCGCCACGAGAGGAGGUUCGAGUGGUGCUCGUAAGGGCCGACGAAAACCAACCACCUCUCUUCCAUGUAAGUCUCAUGAGAGCUGCACACUUGUUAAUACAUGUAUCUAAGGUUUGAGGUUAUAGAGUUCGAGUAUGACUUUGUUUGUAAGCUACCAAAAGGUGUGUACGAUAAGGAAUGUAGCUAAACAAUCCUGAUAAACUAUACUACUGUUAUAUUAUCUGAUAUGGAUACUUGGGAUUGCAUGAUAAGGUUGAGUUCAAUUAGGACUAACAUUAUGGGAAGUCUCCUAGUUGAAACACCAUUGCAUAAGGUUAAAAAUAUAGGGUCCCUGCACUCUCAAUUGACACGCAAUAAAAGAGCCUCACGCCCCAUAGUAUUGAGCCAUUGCAUUCUGAGAUUGACGAGUUGCAGAAGAAGCCUAUCUCGAUCGCAUUCUAGCCGACAUGGUUUCUACAGGUUAGUGGUUAUUUGGUUUUAGUGAAUCAGUUAUGUAUUAAACUAAUCUUACAUUUGGUAUCAGAGCUUUUCACAUACCAAUUAACCCUAAGAUGAAAGCAUCAAGAACAAUCUUCUUUUACUGCAGAUUAUGGACUGCUGACAAGUUAUCAGGGAAUUCAUGUAUUGAGCAUAUAUCAGCUAAAGCUGUUUGUGUUCAUAUGCAUGUCUUAAAAAACUUGGACAUCAGUAGUUGCACUNUCUGUCCACUCCUCAUCUCAUUUCCACAUACGGCCCACUGUAUUUUGUCGCACACCGAAUCAAUACCAACACGAGAAAAACUCAGUUUAAUUAAAUAACAACAGGUAUCAGUAUACCAACAUCGCUUGUAUACGAACAAAAUUAAUUUAAUUAAUUCGACCACUUUUUUUGUACAAUUUAAUUUAACCAAUUUUUUUUUUCAAUUUAAUUAAUUAAGAACAAAAUUAAUUCAAUUAAUUUGACCAAUUUUUUGUUUAAUUUAAUUAAAUAAGAACAAGUAGCAGUUUACCAAACUAGUUGAUAAAAAAUCAUAAAAAUAAAAAAAUUUGCAGUUUUUAGUUGGAAUGUCCAAAGGUUCUACUUGCAUUUGACUUUAUAUUUUUAACAAAGGCAUUGAGGUUCUUCUGCGAUCGAUUCAUCUCUCCUGAUAUGGCUUGUAUGCAAAAACAAGAUGAAAGAAAACGAGUGGUGGGGUGUAGUCGGUUUUACCUUGCUGCGAAAUCAAAGCAUGCAAAGCCGCCAUAUUGAUGAAGAAGUCGAGCGAUUGCUCGUGUAUCCGAAUAAAUUCCGGUCACAUUGCUACAAGCCGAGAAGGAACCCAAAAUCGGGCGGUUGGAGUACUUGUAUGACUCGAGUUGUAGUCUAAGAGCCUCCAUGUCCAACAAAGCCAUCCUCGUCCAGACCGAUCUCGAUCACUUGAGCUAAGCUUUGCCGCCACGAGAGGAGGUUCGAGUGGUGCUCGUAAGGGCCGACGAAAACCAACCACCUCUCUUCCAUGUAAGUCUCAUGAGAGCUGCACACUUGUUAAUACAUGUAUCUAAGGUUUGAGGUUAUAGAGUUCGAGUAUAUGACUUUGUUUGUAAAGCUACCAAAAAGGUGUGUACGAUAAGGAAUGUAGCUAAACAAUCCUGAUAAACUAUACUACUGUUAUAUUAUCUGAUAUGGAUACUUGGGAUUGCAUGAUAAGGUUGAGUUCAAUUAGGACUAACAUUAUGGGAAGUCUCCUAGUUGAACACCAUUGCAUAAGGUAUAAAUAUAGGGUCCCUGCACUCUCAAUUGACACGCAAUAAAAGAGCCUCACGCCCCAUAGUAUUGAGCCAUUGCAUUCUGAGAUUGACGAGUUGCAGAAGAAGAGCCUAUCUCGAUCGCAUUCUAGCCGACAUGGUUUCUACAGGUUAGUGGUUUUAUUUGGUUUUAGUGAAUCAGUAUAUGUAUUAAACUAAUCUUACAUUUGGUAUCAGAGCUUUCACAUACCAAUUAACCCUAAGAUGAAAGCAUCAAGAACAAUUUUUUACUGCAGAUUAUGGACUGAUGACAGGUUAUCAGGGAAUUCAUGUAUUAAGCAUAUAUCAGCUAAAGCUGUUUGUGUUCAAAUGCAUAUCUUCAAAAACUUGGACAUCAGUAGUUGCACUAGAGUUUGAUAUGUAAACACUAAUCAUCUAAAGAUGAUCCGUUGUUUAUAUAUCAAAUUCUAAGUGGCAGAAUGCUUCAUUAAAACCAUGAAUGAGCACCGACAUGACCACAAAACCACAAAGGUUUAUAGUCAUGAUCAAAGUCAGGUUCGUUCAUGGGAUAUGUUGGCAUUGUGAUAAAGAAAAUUGUUCAUAAAUUUUAACAUUCAAAGAUGUUGAAACUGUGACAUAUGGAUAUGGGACUAAAGUUUAAUUUCUUUGCAUAUUGCGGUUUUAAAGGUGUCAAUCCAAGCUCCAUGAAUCUCAAUACCAUUGAGCCACUGACUGGAAUGAAUUAUAAGAAGUGGAAGCAAGACCUUGAGAUUGUUCUUGGGGUGAUGGAUAUGGAUUUGGCACUAAGGAGUGAUGAACCACUGCUGCCCGAUGAAGGAUGCACAUCAAGUCAAAGGUCUAAGCAUGAGAAAUGGCAGAAAGCAAACAGAAUCUCUCUCAUGAUUAUCAGAAGGACCAUGACUGAUGUUGUGCGCGGGGGUUUCCCAGAAACAUCCAAAGCCAAGGAUCUUAUGAAAUCCAUUGAAGAAAAAUACAAGGAGUCCGAGAAGACCGAGACAGGUAACAUGAUGAAUUCUCUCACCACUAUUAGAUAUGAUGGAGUUGAAAGUGUUCGGGAAUAUAUUCUCAAAGUGGUGGACAUUGCUGGAAAAUUGAAGAUGCUUGAGGUACCAAUUUCUGAGACCUUUUUGGUUCAUGUAGUUAUGAAUUCUCUACCUGAAAGUUACACUCAGUUAAAAGUCUCAUAUAAUGCACUGCAAGCUAAGUGGGACAUCAAUGAAUUGAUUUCCAUAUGUGUGGGUGAGGAAGUCAGAAUUAAGAAAGAAAGGGCUGAGAAAGAAAGGCUGAAUCAGUGAAUUAUGUCCAAAGCUACAACCAAAACCCCAAGCAUGGUAACCAUGAUACUGUCAGAAAAGAUGCUACCAGAAGUGCUUCCUCCUCUAAGAAAGUUUUUAAACCUAACAAACCAAGUAUUUUCAAAUGUUCUGCAAAAAGGCAGGCCACAUGAAGAAAAAUUGUCCAAAAUACAAAGCUUGGCUUGCCAAGCAAGAAGUGAAAAAAGGUAAAAAUGUUUUCGUUUGUUUUGAGUCUAAUUCAGUUGACAUACCUAGUAAUGCAUGGUGGCUUGACUCUGGCUCUUCUAUUCAUGUUACGAAUUCAUUGCAGGACUUCACAAUAAGGAGAACACCAAAUAAAGAUGAAGUGAAGGUCUUGGUGGGCAAUGGAAGAAGGGUUGAAGUCAAAGCCUUAGGAACUGUUAGACUUAAGUUAGAAUUUGGUUUUCAUCUGGAUUUGGAAAAUGUUGCUUAUGUACCUUCCAUGAGGAGGAAAUUAGUAUCGGUUUCAAAACUUGUUUUGCUAGGUUAUUAUUUUACAUUAAAUAAAAUUGGCUUCAAACAUCUUUUACAAUUCUUCUCACAUUGGCACUGGUUCUAUAUGUGACGGGAUGUUUCAGUUCAAAUUAAGAGUUGAAAACGUGAUUUUUAAUGUUGAAAAGAAUCAUGAAAAACCACAACAGUCAUCCCAUCUUUGGCAUAAAAGACUCGGACAUGUUUCAAAACCGAGAAUGGAACUUUUGAUCAAAAGUGAAAUUUUACCACCCUUGAAUUUUAAUGAUUUCGAACUUUGUAUAGAAUGCAUCAAGGGAAAAAUGACUAAUUCAAGAAAAGAAGGAUCGACUAGAAGCAAACAACUUUUAGAGAUCAUUCAUACAGAUAUUUGUGGCCCCUUUCCUACAAAAACAAUCGAUGGAAACAAGUACUUUAUAACAUUUAUAGAUGAUUUUUCACGUUUCUGUUUUAUAUAUUUAAUCCCUGAGAAGUCAAAAGCUCUUGAAGUCUUUAAAUUUUUAAAACUGAAACUGAAAACCAAUUGGAAAGGAAGAUCAAAGUGGUUAGGUCUGAUAAAGGAGGUGAGUACUAUGGUAAGCAGAGUCAAACUGGCAGGCAACCAGGACCAUUUGCAUUGUAUCUUCAAGAUCAUGGCAUUGUAGCACAGUAUACCACUCCUGGUACACCUGAGCAGAAUGGAGUCUCUGAGAGAAGAAACAGAACCCUUAUGGACAUGGUUAGAAGCAUGAUGUGCAAGGUGAACUUGCCAAAUUUUUUGUGGGGAGAAGCAGUCAAGACUGCUAACUACAUUAUUAACAGAGUGCCAUCCAAAGCAGUUGUGAAUACACCUUUUGAAUUGUGGACAGGUAGGCGACCUAGCUUUAAUCAUUUACAUAUCUGGGGAUGCAAGGCUGAAGCUAAGGUUUACAACCCUAAUGGCAAGAAGCUCGAUCCUAAGACACUCUCUUGUUAUUUCGUGGGAUAUGCUGAGAGGUCUAAAGGUUUUAGGUUUUAUUGUCCCAAUCAUGACAUGAAAAUUGUUGAGACUGGCAAAGCAAUAUUUAUGGAACUAGGGAUGGAUGCUGAAAACUGUUCGAGGACAGAAGAAUUUGUUUUUGAAGAACAAGGAGAUAUAUGGGCUGAAUAUGACCAACAACAAACUGUACCCAAGUCAGUGGUUGAACUUCCAAAUCACGUGGACCAUAGCAUGGGAAAUGAUGAUUAUUUAAUUCAACAUGGCAGCAACCACGCACUAGUGAAUGGUAAUGAAAUUGAGGCAUUAUUAAAUGAGGAACAACAUGAAGAGAAUGAGGAAGGGCACGUGGAAAAUGCAGCUGUAAAUAGCAGCCAUGUGAACCGACAAGAGCACCGACAAGAGCACCGUCAAGAGCACCGACUGGAGCACCGACUAGAGCAGCAUGCAAAUGUUUAUGGAGAGCACGUGGAGAUGGUUGAGGUGAAUGGCAAUGAACACCGACACGAUGGUAUAGGUAUUGGUGAGGUUGCACCGCUUGUGAGGAAAUCGGGUAGGGUAAGAAAAUCCACUUUAUGUUCAGAUUUUGUAUAUAUGGCAGAAUUAGACUUUAAUAUGUCAGAGUUUAAUGAUCCUGGGAGUUACAAAGAAGCAACCUCAAACAUUCAUGCAGAUAAGUGGAUGGAUGCAAUGAGGAGUGAGUUGUCCUCGAUGGAGGAAAACAAAGUUUGGAGCUUGGUAGAGUUAAAAGAAGGAAUAAAACCCAUAGGUUGUAAAUGGGUUUUUAAAACCAAAAGAGACUCAAAUGGAAAUGUGGAAAGACACAAAGCAAGGCUUGUUGCCAAGGGUUUUACACAGAAAGAGGGCAUUGACUACAAAGAAACAUUUAGUCCAGUGUCUACUAAAGAUGCAUUCAGAGUCAUCAUGGCAAUGGUAGCACACUAUGAUUUUGUUUUUACAUCAAAUGGAUGUAAAAACAGCCUUCUUAAAUGGUGAAUUAGAGGAGGAUAUUUAUAUGGUACAACCUGAGGGCUUCAAAGAAGAAGGGAAGGAAAAUAUGGUAUGUAAACUGAAUAAAUCAAUUUACGGUUUAAAACAGGCAUCUAGGCAGUGGUAUUUGAAGUUUCAUCAUGUUGUUAAGGAGCAUGGGUUUACAGAGAAAAUCCAUCUGAUGCUUGUAUAUAUUUGAAAGUCAGUGGGAGCACUUAUAUCAUAUUAGUGCUCUAAGUGGACGGUAUUUUGUUAGUAGAAAAUUGUUCUAGCCUAUUGGAUGAAACUAAGUCUUUCUUGCAGUGCAAGUUUGAAAUGAAAGAUUUAGGUGAAGCUUCGUAUGUCUUGGGAAUUGAAAUCAAAAAGAGAUAGAGAGAGAGGACUCCUGGGACUAUCGCAGAAAGGGUACAUAGAGAAAGUGUUAAAAAGAUUCAAUAUGGCAUCAUGUGGAACCACAGAAAUGCCAAUUUCGAAGGGUGAUAAACUGAGCAAAGAACAAAGUCCAAGAAACGAGAUUGAAAGGGAGAACAUGAAGGACAAACCAUAUGCUUCAUUAGUGGGAAGUUUGAUGUAUGUUCAGGUCUGUACAAGGCCUGACCUUGCAUUUACCAUUAGUGUUCUAGGGAGAUUUCAGUCCAACCCUGGAGAAGCACAUUGGAAUGCAGGGAAAAGGGUUAUGAGAUACCUUCAAAGAACUAAAUCUCACAUGCUCAUUUACAAGAAAACUGAACGUUUGGUUUUGGAAGGUUAUAGUGAUGCUGACUUUGCAGGAUGUCCUGAUGAUUUAAAAUCAACUUCGGGUUUUGUCUUCACUAUGGCAGGAGGAGCUGUGUCGUGGAAAAGUUCUAAACAAGAUAUAGUUGCAGCCUCAACUAUGGUUGCUGAGUACUUGUCAUGUUGUGAAACAGUCAAUCAGGCAAUAUGGAUGAAAAAUUUUAUUACAGGAUUGAGAGUGGUAGACUCAAUUCAAAUGCCUAUUCAGAUAUUCUGUGAUAACAAUGCAGCCAUCUUUUUCUCUAAGAACAACAAAAGGUCAACUGCAACAAGGAAUUUGGAGAUUAAAUAUCUCAUUGCUCGAGAAAAGGUAAUGGCAGGACUUGUUAAGAUUGAUUACUUGGCAACUGGUUCUAUGAUUGCAGAUCCUUUGAAUAAGCCGGUGCCAGCUGCAGUGUUCAAAGGGCAUGUUGCUAAAAUGGGUGUGCUAGCAGGUUUUGAAGCUGUGGAAUAGUGGGAGUCGUGUUUGUUCAAUUUGUUAAGUUCUAAUUUAGCAUGUUUAGAUUUAUGCAUUGAGAAUAAGGUUAUAUUUAUAACUAAUAAAGAUGUUGCUGUUGGUUGUUCAAAGUUCCCUUAAAGCAUACAGCAUUAGUUAUAAUGAUAUGUUUUAAUACAUGAAUAUCAAUCUGAGUUAUUGUUUAAAGAUUAACAACCAUUGAGGUUUCUUAUGAAGCAUGAAGAAAGCCUACGUUGGUAGUCAUAAGGAGGACCACAUGUCAAAUGUGUUUAAAUAUAUAUGUACAGUCACAUUUACAUAUUUCCAUGUCUUGUUGGAGUUUCAUGUAUGGUAAGGUUUCAUGAAGUGAUUAUGGGGAUGCUGUUCUGGAGAUGAGCAUAUAAUUCCUUAUAGUUCUUUAUGAAUACUCUGCAAUGACAGAAACUGGAUUUUCAGGUUUAUGUUCAACUCUAAACUCAUGGCCACUUAAGUAUAAUCUCUCUUCAGUAUUACUAUGAUUAACAAGUGUUGGCUCUAGUGGGAGAAUGUAAGUCUCAUGAGAGCUGCACACUUGUUAAUACAUGUAUCUAAGGUUUGAGGUUAUAGAGUUCGAGUAUGACUUUGUUUGUAAGCUACCAAAAGGUGUGUACGAUAAGGAAUGUAGCUAAACAAUCCUGAUAAACUAUACUACUGUUAUAUUAUCUGAUAUGGAUACUUGGGAUUGCAUGAUAAGGUUGAGUUCAAUUAGGACUAACAUUAUGGGAAGUCUCCUAGUUGAACACCAUUGCAUAAGGUAUAAAUAUAGGGUCCCUGCACUCUCAAUUGACACGCAAUAAAAGAGCCUCACGCCCCAUAGUAUUGAGCCAUUGCAUUCUGAGAUUGACGAGUUGCAGAAGAAGCCUAUCUCGAUCGCAUUCUAGCCGACAUGGUUUCUACAGGUUAGUGGUUAUUUGGUUUUAGUGAAUCAGUUAUGUAUUAAACUAAUCUUACAUUCCAUGCCUAUUAAAUCACUGCCCAGCAUUCUAUCUCUUAGGGUUGAUGGCACGGCAAUGCCCAUCACUUCUUGGAGCCUUUUGAUUGCUGAGGUAGUGCCUUGGCCGCACAGCAAGAGUGCAUCAUCCGCUCCAACCCCUAAGCAUUUCUUCAAGUACUUGACUGCUUCUCCCACCAUUUUCGUCGUCCGGUUUCCGACGAAGCUGUCACAGGUGUGAGUAUUCCCUACAUGUCAACACACACGUUCAUUUAGUAGAUUUGUUCUUGAGAUUAACCAACUACUCGUAACAUUUGAUACAAUACAGAGUUAAUAUACGUACCGUAAAAGGGAAGGACAUUUUUGACGAUGAAGUUUUCGAUGUAGAGAAGAGAGCGUCCGGAGGCAGUGUGAUCGGCGUAGAUGAGUCUUCGUCUCCCGAAAGGAGAACUGAAUUCUGCAGCAGCACCGACGACUUGAGAGCGUAGCCAAGACAGCCUUAGCUGCUCGGACUCGCUCUUUGGCACCUCCUUCAUCCCAAGUGUUGCACAGAAUGACGAUUCUCCGCCGCGGUUGCAGUCGUCACAAGAAGCUGAUUUCGUACCAGUGCUGCUGGUGAUUGCUGUUGGGGAAGGGGAGUAUUGGGUUUCUUUUAAGAUGGGUUGGAAUAAUUUAAGAACAAGAAGAAGAAUGUGUUGGAAUUUAUGAACAAAUUCCAUAUGUAAAUUAGCAAAAGAUACACGAAAGAAAGGAUUUAUGAACAAGAAGAAGAAUGUGUUGGAACUUGGAAUCAAUGCGGCAAAUGUUGGCAUCAAAGUGGCAGCACACCACACAUAUAUAUAGACUAGCCUUUCGCACGCGCAAGGACCCUUGCGUUAAAUCAACGCAAUCUUAUUUCUCGUUGCCAGUAGUAAGAAAUUUGAGUUACCGGCUCAGCUUUUCAUUUUUUUAUUUAUAAACAAUAUUUUACACUAAAUUAUUUCUACUGCAUAAAAAAGUUAUGCGUAGAAGAAGAGUAUAUUGCACAACUUUUUAUAGAAAUAAAAAACAAUCUAACUGUUUGAACUAAAAAAUGAGGUUACAAUUUAGUACUACGGUCUUGUGGUAUUCCUCUUCACUUGAAAAUGAGAGAUCUUAGGUUCAAUUCUCGCCAAAGGCGAAUUCGAACCACAUUAUUACUAGCUUAUUAUGAGGCUAAGUCCACACACUCUUUAUUAGUGUAUAUUAAAAAAAAAAUAAAAACUUUAAUGAAAAGCGCUUGGGCUAAAUUUAUUUUAAUAAAAAAUCAUUUAACAAUUUUAUUUAAUGUAAAAGGUUUGAAAGUUAAUCAAAAAGGACAAAACCUAGAAAAGAAGCACAUGUGCAAAACCAAAAGUUGUGUUUUUUUGGUAAAUUACAUAAUACCCUUCAGCCUUCAGGUUUGAGGUCUAUUACAACCUUAUACAAUAUCUUUAAAACAUUUCACUUUCAUACCUCACGUACUAUUUUAUUUCAAAAUAAUACCUCCGUUAGAUUUUUCAUCCAUUGGUAUGUUAAAUGCUGACGUGGCUGCUACAUUUAUGCUGAUAUAGCUGUCACGUGGUAAAAAAAUAAUUUUUUAUACAUUAAAAAUAUUAUAAUAUUAACCUUAUUUUAAAAAAAUUAUAAAAAAAAAAUCCAAGCCCCGUUAUAGUUCCAUUCUAGUCACCAAAAAAGCCCCACGAAUUUGAAAGAAAACUCUUUGAAAAUCUUAUACGCCAACAUGUACCAAAUGUGAAGUACACUGCCAUAUGUUCAUCAAUUUUUUUAGCUUUUGUUUUCAUGAAACAAACUUUUCGUUUCAUAAUUUCGUACGCUCUAGUAAAUUAAUACACAGGAAAUAAACGAUCGAAUAGACACAUUGUGUUUUGUUAAAAUUAGAUAAAGGACAUCGAAAAAAACAUCUCUUAUCAGUUUUUCAUACUCAAAUUCAAAUCUAAAACCAUAACAAAACACCAAAAUUUUAUAAAAGAAAUCUAUAAAUAUGCUCUGGUUGGAAGUAUCAUUACUUUUUUUGAGGUAAAUUGUAUGAUAUAAUUGGCCUUCCAAAUUGAUCAUUAGUGGUUUUUUUUUUCAGAUCAAGAAAUAGUUCGGUUCUAGAAAACUUAGUUUUUGCACUACUUCUCUAUAAAACCUAGUUCGUUAACUGCAUGUUUUCUUCCCAUCCAGAAAUAGUGUGGAUUAUUUGGGUUGGAAUAAAUUAUGAACAAGAAGAAGAAUGUGUUGGAAUUUAUGAACAAAUUCCACAUGUAAAUUAGCAAAGAUAAUGGAAUUUAUGAACAAAUUCCACAUGUAAAUUAGCAAAGAUAAACGAAGGAUUAAUAACCUGCGGAAUAUGUUGGCAUCAAAGUGGCAUCACGUAUAUAUAUAUACACUAGCCUUUGGCACGCGCAAGGACCAUUGCGUUAAAGCAACGCAAUCUUUGGAUUGAAUUUUAUGCGGCUUCUCAUUGCCAGUAGUGAGCAAAUCUGAGUUACCGGCUUACCUUUUCAUUUUUUAUUUAUAAACAAUAUUUUACACUAAAUUAUUUCAACUGCAUAAAAUAGUUAGGCGUAGAAGAAGAGUACAUUGCGCGCUCUAGCCAACGUGACUUAGUCUACGUCUGGAGCUUUUUAUAGAAAUAAAAAACAAUCUAACUGUUUGAACUAAACAAUGAGGUUACCAUUUAGUACUACGGUCUAGUAGUAUUCCUCUUCAUUUAUAAGUAAGAGGUCUUAUGUUCAAUUCUCGCCAAAGGCAAAUUCGAACCACAUUAUUGUUAGCUUAUUGUGAUGUUAAGUUCACACAUUCUCCAUUAAUGAAGGUAAUAUGGCUUGUUUAAAAAAAAAAAAUUAAUGAAAAGAACCUGGACUAAGUUUAUUUUAAUAAAAAAUUAUCUAACAAUUUUAUUUAAUGUAAAAAACUUGAAAUUUAAUCAAAAAGACAAAAACUAAAUCCUCUAACGACAAAAACGUGUGUGUUUGUAUAUGCGACAAAAUAGUUGUACUCGUAUGUGGAAGGGGCUGUGGGUUUUGGGGGCGAAAGUGCAGUCCACAUAGUGAAAAUAUUGGAGGGGGUUGGUGGAAAUCUUUGGAUUCAAGCUCCCGGUGCUCCACUGCCACUGGAAUCUGCAACCGAUUUGAAUGGAAUAUUUAAUAGAGUUGAUGAAAAUAACUAUUGUUUUACUUUUUUACGAGUUCAAGAACCCACACCCUAAUUAGAUUAAACUUCAUGAUUCAUUGCUCUAUUUUUCAUCCAAGUUUCAGAUAAAGGCUCUCUAUCUCUCUCUCCAGAGAGUAGUUUCUUCUGAUUACAACAGUAGAUAAAUUAUUUUUAGACCUUGACUGGAUUAUCUUUACUCCCAUGCAAGUACCAGGACAAAUGACAAUUAGAAGGGUACUAAAGGAACAUCUGAUCGAUCAUGUUAGUCCCCAUAUUUUCAUUGUUUGGCUGGUGACUUGGAGUUGGAUUUAAUUAAUUCCAUAUGUUAAUUAGGAAAGAUUAACGAAAGGAAUAAUUUAUGAACAAGAAUUAAUGUGUCAUACACACAUGUAUGUGUAUAUAUAUUUAGUGGAAAGAAGUUUUGAAAUUGUUUCACCAAUGGGACCAUUGCGUUAAACUAACGCGACCUUUUCAAUUCAAUUCAAUAUUGCGCCCGUUUCUUGCCGCCGCAGUCAAAGUUCAACGCAGAUUGGAUUUUAUUUGGAUCUCAUUGCCAAUAGUAAGCAAGUCUUUUUUUGUCAAAAAUAGUAAGCAAACUUUUUUUAGUAAUGCUAUUCAUACCAUGUUUUUGUACCAUAUUUUUAUACCACCUUAGGUGUCAUCUGAUUUGAACAGCCACAUUAUUUGAAAAAUUUGCAAAACCCAAGGAAAUAAAGGAGAAAGACUCAUGGUAUAUUACAAUCAUCAUUUAAUUAACUAGUUUUUUUAAUUAUUAGUUUAUUAAAUAAUGAACUAAAUUUAAAAAUCUGAUUAAUACAAAUGAUGUAGUUGUCCACAUCAAAUGCCACCUAAAGUGGCAUGAAAAUAUGAUACAAAAAUAUGAUAUGAAUAACAUUACUCGUCUUUUUUUCCAACCGCUACGGAAGUCCCACCUCACAUGCACGCACUCUUUAUAUGUGAAGAUAUGUCUUUGCAACGAGUAGUAAAUCAAGAUACGUCUUUGCAGUUUCCCACCACACAUGCACGCACUCUUUAUAUGUUUUAUUUGGCUCUCAAACUUUUGAAGAUGUGGUGAAGGAUCUUGUCAAUCAAGAUACGUCUUUGCAGUUUCCCACCUCACAUGCAUGCACUCUUUAUAUGUUUUAUUAGUCAUAUAAAAAUAAGGUAACCCGGUAGAUGCCCAUUAUAUAUGUGCACGAGUAGUAAAAAUUACACUUACAAAUGCUCAUUAUAUAUCAUGCAUGAAAUCAUAUGAAAGAUUUUUACCUCUCAAUGAAUUGACUUUGAUCUUGAGUUGUAAAUACGAGAGGGUCCAACAUUUUACUAACUUGUGGAAUCUUCAAGGUUAGGAUAUUUUAAAAUGCACAUAAAUACAAUACAAUUCAUUAUUUCUCUUGGGAGGGUCCAACAUUUUACAAUUAGAAAGUCUCAAACUUUUGUAUACACGUAUGUAAUUCAAUGUUUUUUUCUUUUAGUAUCUGUUGGCGUCUAUUUAUAAUUAAUUUUAUAGUAUUAUAAAAUAUGUUUUGAUUCUAUCAUACAUAUAUAUAUAUUAUGUGUUUGUAUAUGCGACAAAAUAAUUGUACUCACAUGUGGAAUCUUUGGAUUCAAGCUCACGGUGCUCCACUGCCACUGGAAUCUGCAACCGAUUUGAACGGAAUAUUUAAUAGAGCUGAUGAAAAUGAUUAUUGUUUUACUUUUUUACAAGUUCAAGAACUUACACUCUAAUUAGGUUAAACUUCAUGAUUCAUUGCUCUAAUUUUUUUAGGCCAAAUUGGAUUAUUCAUCCAUGUGGUCAUAGGAAACUUGCAUGAUGACCUCCGUGGUGAAAAAACUAGGAAUUAAACCCCUGUGGUCAAGAAUGUUAGCAAAUUUAGUCCAAAAGUAAGAUUUUUGUUAAAUGACUGUUAAAAGUAUAGGUAAAACUAUAUUUUCAGUUCCAAUUGACAUUUAAAAUAAAUAAUUUUUUUAUAACAAUUAACAAAAAAAAUAAUGCUUAUUUUUUUAAAUAAAAAAUAGCGCCAAUUCAAUAUCAAUUGGAACUGAAAAUACAGUUUUACCCCAACUUUUAACAGUAAUUUAACAGAAAUCUUACUUUUGGACUAAAUUUGCUAACAUUCUAGACUACAGGGGUUUAAUUCCUAGUUUUUUCACCACGAGGGUCAUCAUGCAAGUGUCCUAUGACCACAGGGAUGAACAAUCCAAUUUAGCCAUUUUUUUAUUGUGAUUAUGAAGUGCUAUUGACAUUUCAAAACAUCACUAUCCACUCCUCCAGAGUGAAAAAAAAAAUGGACAAGAGUUAGAUGACUUUUUCUUAUUAUGACUGACAACAAUUCUUUUAAGUUUUCAUAUGAAUUAUUUUGAGUGAGUGAGAAAAUAAAUUAUGGUAAAAAAUAGACCAAGGGUUUUUUUUUUUGGGACAAUAAUAGGCCAAAGUUUAGAGGCUUUGCAUUGUAACAAAAUGAAUUACUUUCACACCAAAGGUUGCGGAACAAACAUGAGACUUUCGAGAAAUUUUGAGGAGUUCCCUACACUUAUUUCAGGUGGUGUUUUCUAUUUGUGAGAAUUUAACAUCUAAAUUUAUUUAAUUAAAAAGAAAAAAAAAAUUAAAUAUCAACUUUCCAUUUGCGAUAACACAGGUGCUAGAAACUCUUAAGAAUUUCUUGAGACUUUGAAAGGUUGAUUAAUGAUAAGGAGAGCACUUUAUUUUAACUGAAAAUAUGACUUUAACCCCUCAAACUCAAUUUCUUUCAUAUAAAACCCGACAUAACAUUUUUACUUGAAUAAAACCCAAUGACUAGACUUCACAUAAGCAAAUUCAUUAAUUAUGACAUUUUAAAAUUUUCGAAUGCCUAAAAUACCCCUUUUUGCAUGUUUAAUGUGCACAAUUAAACAUAUGCAGAUUUUAAGGAGGAUUAAUGAUUUUACAAAAAUAAAAUAAUAAAAAAGGCACAAAUAUUCUAAAUGCAUUGCAUGUUAUAUGAAUUUGGUUGAUUCAUGUUUCUCUCACUUCAUAAAAUUUGCUUCUAAUUUGAUAUAGGAAUUAAUUUGGAAAGUUUUCUUAAUCUUAAUAACAAUUUUCAAUUUAAAUAUAUUUUUUAAUGAAAUAGUCUAUCUUUUAAAAUAUUUAUCAAUAAAAUAAUGUACCUAUAUAUAUAUAUUUUUUUUUUGCCAACUAUAAAUUUUUACCAUAAUUUACCUAUAUAAUAAUGUACCUGUUAUUUAAUUUUUACAACACUAAUGUAUCUUAAAAAAUAAUUUACUUAUUGUUUAGUUUUAGCAAAAAUAAUUUACCUACUGUGUAUAAUUGGUGAAGCUAAUGAUGUACAUAUUGUUUAAUUUUUUAAAAAUUAAUGUAUGUACAAAAAUAAUUUAUCUAUUGUUCAAAUUUUAGGAUAAAAAUUUACAUGUUUUUAUUUAACAAUAAUGUAUCUACAAUUUUAUUUUUGUAUGAAUAUAAUUUACCUACUUUUUAAUUUUAUAUGAAACUAUUUUACCUACUGUGUCAGUAAUGUAUCUACAAUUUUACAUACAAUAUUUACCUUCUUUUUUUUUCACAACAAUAGUGUAUCUACAAUUUUGUUUUUGUAUGAAUAUAGUUUACCUACAAUUUAACUUUUCAAAAAAUGUAUCUUCUAUUUUAUAUUUUACUAUCAUAUAUAUGUUUCUGUGUUCGCAAAAUAAUUUAUCUAAAGUUAUAUAGUUAAGAGAUAUGCUAAUGAAUUAUAUUAAUUCAUUAUUAGACUGAUAUAAGAAAUUGUUAAAAACGUUAGCCAUAAUGGUUGGCUAAUAAUGGUUGUAUGAGAACAGUUAUAGAAAGUUGUGGCAUAAAUUGUAAAUAACUUAUAUUAAUAGGUUACUUAUUUUCUUAUGUGGUAAUUUAUUUAAAUUUUGGGUUUUGAUUGAAUGUUUAUUCAUAGGUGGGUUUUUAUCUGAAGUGUAUGAGUUGUAUGGGUCUAUAUCUAAACAACCCUUAUUUUAACCACCGUAUGUUACAUGAUGUGGCAUAUUACAUGUAAAUGUCAUUACAAUCUAGUGAUAUUCUUCUUCACUUCCAAGCGAGAAGUUUUAGAUUUAAUUCUCGUCAAAAACCAAUUUGAACCUUAUUAUUGUUAGUUCAUUAUGAAGUUUAAUCCAUUCUCAUAUUCUCUUAGUGUAGAUAAUAAUAUUUGUUUAAAAAGAAAAUGUCACAUCAUUAAAAUUAAUGAGGCAAUACUUUAAUAUGUAUUUUAUUUUAAAUUAACAUAAUUUAUUCCAACAAGUCUUGCUUCUAGUUUCAUCUCCAACCCCGUCGGCACCCACCCCCAUCCCCAUCGUAAUCGAUCUCCCCGGGGACUACUUACUUUGGUACCUUUUUCUCUUAUCACUAUGUUCCUUAUCACUUCCAUUUGUUACUCUCUCAUUAGAUAGUCUAGGUUUUAAAUUUGAAUAAAUAAUUGAAAAUGCCGUAGGAUUUUUAAGACUGAACACCAACCCAUGUGUCAUGAGGAAAUAACAUUAUGUCAAAUCGAGGGAUUGCAAGACAGAGAGUAGCCUGCAAGGGCUGACGCCGGCGACAGAGGGUAAGAGGAAGGCAGCUGACGGGUUGGUGGUUGGAACAAGGAUUUUCUCCUUUUUUUUUUUUUUUUCUCUCCUUUUGUUUGAACGCUCGUGAUUUCAUCUUGUAAAGAGAGAAAGAAAAAAAAAGUAAAGAGAGAAGAAAGAAAUAAAAACCUAUGAGAGAAGGGGAGGGAGGGGAGGGGAGGGAAAAAGAGAUGAGCGAGUUCCCAUCCGAUGGAUUGGCAAAGGUUGUUGGGAGACAUCAUAAAUUGUGGGAACGUUGGUGCUAGGCAAGGAAGAAAAUAUCGGUAAUAUCGGAAAUAUCGGUAGUCCGAAAAUACAGAAAUAUCGAUGGAAAUAUUGGGAUAAUAUCGAUAUCGAUAAAAAUUACAUGGAAACCACGGAAAUUGUAAGAAAAACUUGUAAAUUUUUAUUGAAACUUUGCAGGAUGUUUAUUUAGUCAAUUAUCUAUUAGUUUAUCACAAAAAAUUGGAAGGAAAUACAUUGCAUGAUGGAUUUAACAUUAUCAAGUUGAUUAUAUAGCGAGCUGACAAACAUUGUGAGUGUAGAAAAUAUGUAGUAAUUGUAAAAGUGGUCUGAAAAGAAUACAAAUUAUAAUUGUAAAAAUGGUCUGAAAUUGUCAAAAUAAUUGUAAAACUUGUCGGGAAUACUGAGUGAGUCAUGUGUCCUCCUGACAAGAGGAACCCACACACACACACACAACGCACGCAACCACACACGCACACAACACACGCACACAAACAUCACACACGCAAACACGACCUCAGUCUCUCUCUCUCUCGAUCCUUCUCGAUCUCUCUUCUCCCUUCUCCCACACACACACACACACAGAUCUCCGAUCUCUCUUCUCCCUUCUCCAAUCUCUCUUCUCCCUUCUCCCACACACACACACACACACACACACAGAUCUCUCGAUCUCUCUUUUCCCUUCUCCGAUCUCUCUUCUCUCUUCUCCCUUCUCCCACACACACACACACACACACACAGAGAUCUCUCGAUCUCUCUUCUCCCUUCUCCCACGCACACACACACACACAGAUCUCUCGAUCUCUCUUCUUCCUUCCCCUACACACACACCACGGCCUUUUGCUCCUCAGUCCGACAAUCUCGAAUCCCUCUUCCUUUUCAGAAACUAGCUUUCUAGGUGUCGCCGUCGUUGAUCGUGGCUCUGGCGAAGUCGGAGUUGGCUCAGUCGUCUGUGGCGGUGCGCCGUUGAGCAAGGAGUUGGCUCAGUCAUUUGGUUCAUCUUCGAAUCGAAGAAAACAAGUUUUCAGGUGAGAUUCCAUUGAAACCCUAAACCCUAAACCGACAUCACAUAUGUUGAAUCGUUUAUUACCUCUUGCAUGCUUGAAAUUUGAAGUUUAUAUGUGAAAUUGAAGUUAAAAAUCGUGUUUUUGCAAGGUUUUUGGGACGAAAUCGGCUCUGGAAUAGGCACACCAUCUCCGGCGUUCUUCUCCGACGUUCGGCUCGGAGUCCGAUUGCACCGUUCAAAAAAAUAUCGCGAUAUUUCCAAAAUAUCGCGAUAUUAUCGAUAAUAUCGCGAUAUUUUGACGAAAACCAUUCGGAUACCUAUUUAAAUAUCCAUUGCGCGAAAACCCGAUAAUAUCGGCGAUAUUUCGCCGAUAUUAUCGGCAUUUUCUUCCAUGGUGCUAGGGUUUUCCAUUUAGAAAUUGCGAUUAAAACAUUAAAACAAAUUUAAUCACAUAAAAAUGACUUGCCAUGCCACAUAGGUGAUUUAUAAUGGAGUGUGAUAUUCACACACAUUUUUUUACUUCUCUCACACCUUUUUGGUUUUCGAUUGUCAGACCGGAUGAAUUGAAGAAUAUCAACGGACAGAAAUUAACAAGAGGUGUGUGAGAAGUAAAAUGGGGUAUGUGGAUAGCACACUCCUUUAUAAUUAUGGUUUAAAAAGAUGAUAGCCCUGCUGCUUAGUAGUAAGGUCUAGAUUUAUUUCUCUUCACUUGUAAAUGAGAGGUUUUAGAGGCGAAUUUGAAUCUUAUUAUUGCUAGCCUAUUGUGAAACUUAGUCUACAACCUCCCCUUAGUGUAUAUAAUAUCUUUUGGUAAAAAAAUAUAUAAAGAAUUGUAGCCCUAGCAUUUUUAUCUUGAAAAAGGAACGCGGUCCUCUUUCAACUUGUAAUGAAGCACAUCUCUGUUUGUUCUUAUUUUUUUCUUUAAGCAAACUUAUUCAAGACAAUAACUAAUUGUGAGAUGUUUUAGUAUUAAAUACUUAUAAGUAUUGUAGCCAAUUUCACACUUUAUCUAGUCUAUUUCACUCCCAACGUUUCAACUACCUAAUUUCGUGCAAAAAAAAAAAAAAAAUAAAUAAAUAAACUCAAUAUAGUGAAAUAAUUUCCUCCACCCACCCUUAAAGUGAAUAUAUAUCGUUGCAUAAAAAAAAAUUGUAUACUUUCUUCUAUCCACCCCUUUAAGUAGAUAUGUCAUUGCAUCCAAAAAAAUAAUAUAGUAAAAUACUUGGCAUUGUAAUUAAAUUUAAGAUAAACGAGUACCUUCUUGAUUUGUUUGUAUUUAUCUUAUAAAUAAAUAUGACAAGUUGACAAAUACAAAAUAUAAAAACUUGAGAAUACAAUUACAAUGUAAUAAGGAAGUAGGAGGGCAUCUUACUUAUUCCAUGUUAAUGUAAUAUUUUAAGUUUAAACAUGCGAUCUUGGAGAAGUUGAAGUUUUGGACAAAAACAGCAACCAAUUGUCGAUCCACAUGAACAAAUUUUUGGCCUGGGGUACACAUAAAAAAUGAAUAGUCGUACUCCUAACCCUUCAUAGGGCAAGCUGCAUUGGUGAAUUGAAAGUUGUUGAAAAUGAGUUAAGAAUUAUUAAACUAGGUUAAUAUUUUAAUUCUAUCGUCAAAAGUGAAUUUGAACCAUAUUUUAAUUCUAUUGUUUUGACCGGAGCAAUUGGUAAAAUUUGAGUUUACAAACGUUUCAAGUUACAAAUUGGUCUCGACUUUUUGGAUUUCGGUUUUGGUUAGUGAAAACUGAAAUUUGAAAAAGAAAACUGAAGAGCAAUUAAAGAUACAUAUUUUGCAAUGCAUUGCAUGCAAAGUACAGCAAAGAAAAAAGGACUAACGCUCUCUACUGAGGACAGUUCAUCCUCUCUACACCUGCCUAAUUUGAUCAUCAUUUAGACCAUCCAAUCAGAGCCAAGAUUAUGGUAAAUAUGUCGCGAUUAAUCACGGCCCUGAAUAAUCUUUGCUUUUCCGGUGUGUAGGGUGGAUACCUCAAAUCGGAAUCUCCAGCGAAACCUCGAUAAAGAACUGCUUUCUUGUGGCUAAAACCAUCAAAGGAGAAUUUUCCGUGGUAUGAACCCAUUCCACUCUCCCCAACUCCUCCAAAUGGUAAACCGCCUAUGCUAACCUGCGCGCGUAUAUAAUGCAGUAAUAGUUUGUUACAUACAUGUUGAGAAUCAAUUCAAUUCUUUCCGACAGAAAAUCACGAGAAUGAUAAAAAUUCUACCAUUGAUUUUUAUUUCGGGAUGUUGAUGAUAAGGUCGUCAUUUUGGUUUGUUAAGAUGCAGAAAUGCGAAGAUGUAUAUAUAUGCAUAGAAAUUGAAGAGAACAAAGAAUCUCACAUGAAGGACGGUGUCAUUGAUGAGCAUUCCUCCAGAUGAUACGUUAUCCACGAAGCCCUUCUUCAGCUGCUCAUUGUUUGUAAAGGCAUAUACUGCAAGAGGCUUUGGCUUUGAAUUUAUCACGCUGAAACUGUCUUCAAUCUUCUCAACCUAUACGGAACAUAAUCAUAAGAUGCGAGAAUGAUUACAACGACUUGAGAACUACCCCAGAUUCCAGGCUUUUAAUGAUAUUGAAAGUAAUUUGAUUACUCACAGUGACGAUGGGCAUUAAUGGCCCAAAUAUCUCCUCCUGCAUAAUUUGAGCGUCUUCUGGAACAUCCAACAAGAUAGUUGGAGCUAUUUUUCUGCAUUGGAUCGGAUGAUGUAUAUGAGUAAAUCGUUUUAGAAACAUUGUACGCAUAUGGAUUUAUUCAGACAGUGUUGUUGCUUUCCUUAAAAGAUAUACAAUCACAAAAAGUCAUUGUUGUACUUACAAUUGCUUCUCAUCCAUUUGGCCACCGAGGACAAUCUUAUUAGAGACCUUAUCCUCAUCCAGCAGCUUCGCCAACCGUGUAAACUGGGUAGAGCUCACUAUCCGUGAUAUAUCCUUUGAGUUCAUUGGAUCUUUCCCAAAGAACUGCUCGAGUCCAUACUUUAGAGCUUCUAUCUGUCAAGUAGACAUACUUUCAGAAAAAUAUCCUGAAUUAAAAAAACAUAUAUAUUCAAGUAUAUCUGCUAGGCCAAACAUAUUUGUUCCUAAGUUUUUCAACAAGAGCAUCCCAUCGUACCAACUUCGGAGCAAAGUCUUUCGUAGUGAUAAUGUAAUCAACACCGAUGCAAGCUUGUCCAUUGUUCAAUGCCCAUUUGCCUGCCAUUAUCCUCCUAACAGCCACCUUUAAAUUUAUAAACAGAAACAGUUAAACCAGCCACACCAGAAUAUUUAUUAGAAACAUUGUCCAAUCGCUUUAAGAGAACCUAGCUAUUACUUCUAAGUUAACAUCUGAGUCGACAACAGCUGGGGACUUUCCACCGAGUUCCAGAAUUACAGGUGUAAGGUGUUUUGCAGCAGCAGCCAUCACAAUGCGCCCUACUCUUGCACUACCUGUACGAUGUGCAAAUACUUGGUCAAUUAUGUUGCUAGCUCCCUAGGAGUCAAAGAACACACGAAGCAGAGCAACUAUGUAAGAAAAAUGCGUAAUAUGUAUACAAAACCGUUCUCUUGAUAAACUUAUGUUUGUGUAUCUGAACCACACAUUUCCUUGAAGAAACUUAGAAUUAAACCGUUAAGACUAAAUACUUAAAUUUGUAUUAGAAAAAGAACUGAUGCAUCGUAGAUUUCACUGAUACACAAUUAAGUAUGAAUUAUGGACAAAUUCAUGUAUGAAUUAUGAACUCCUCUACCUCAAUAUAGAGAAUACAUCAGUUAGCAAUGCAAAGGCUAAUUGCACAGAAAAUGAAUUUUUGAAAAAAAGAAGAUUAUGCAUAGUGCAGAAACGUUGAUUAUAUGCAGGGGAAUGUGUUUACUUUGAGUAGUGUUGUACACGUACUACAAACGCAUUCAAGAGAGGCUCUCAUAGAAAUCUGAGGAAGUUCAUAAUUAGAGAGAAUAUAAAUUAACCUGUAUAGAGUAUCUUAUCCCACUUCUGCUCUAACAAUGCAGUUGUUUCUGGAACAGCGCCCUCAACAACUUUUAUAGCUGAGUUAUCUAAAUACUCCUCUACUAAAUUUGCAAGGAGUGAAGAUGUAGCUGGAGCAAUUUCUGAAGGUUUUAGCACAACCGCAUUGCCCGCUGAAAUAGCUCCAAUGACUGGAUCAAGAGAUAACACUGGAAUGUGAAACCGCACGUGUUACCAACAAAUAUAUCAGUCAUGGCAUGGUUUAGUUGGAAAGCUUCGACAAGGUGAGAAGUAUGUAACUUAUGUAUCGCCUAACUAGUUAAGUGUGAACUGCGCAGCAAUAUAUUAAACGUACAGAAGGGGAAGUUCCAUGUUGAGAUGACCAACACAACUCCUAGAGGUUCUGACACAAUUUCUGCUGAUGAUGGAUAUGUUGUGAUUGAAGUGCUGACCUGAAACAAACAUCGAAAGUUCCACGUUAUAUAUACUAUUAGCAUUAUACAUAUUGGAGGAUACGGUGGUCAGGAACAAGAAUGGACGAUGGGAAUUUUCAUCCUUGUAUCUGACCAAAAGGGUAUUUACUCUAAUCACCUUCUGUGGAACCAUCCAAUGCUUCAAUUCUUUCAAUGCCUCGUUACAUGACGAUCUUGCCUGAACAAUCUGUAGUAAUCAAACGUUAAUAUUUAUUUUUACAAUGCCGGAGAACAUACACAAGAACAUGUUCCAUAUUAACAAAGCAAAACCAUUAAAACUUGAGGAUACAACAGAAUAUUCACUAUAACAAACAAAGAUAUCAAGGGACUUUGCAAACAGAUCGAAUUCUGACCAAACAGAGUCAGAGUUUUAACCAUUGCAAUUUUCCCCGAAGGACUGCUUUCUGAUCGAUAACACUCCUUAUGAAACAUAUGGUUGCUCUGGUUGGUACUUUUGCUCUCAGGUAGAGGUAAUUUACGCCAGGAACCAUAUGUCUAUGAUGGUUAGCCUUAGUCCAGCAUACUGUUCAAUUUGCUCAAUUUGCAGCGCAAUAUCAAGAAAAUGGCAAGCUGAACUGGGGGUACAGGCGGCUCAAGUGGACGGAGAGAAUUUUUUGUGAUACCUAUGUGACUCAAGCGUCAGACGGUGCAACUAGGAGAAGGAAAUGGAUACCAAAAGGUAGUGAAGAAAAACAUGUCAAAUAGAAGAAGAAAGAAAAACCUGCGUAGAACAAGUAAGCCCAUGAAUGCUACCUAUCGAGUGAAUAGUGACCAUAUUUCAUGACAAGGUUGUCACUUGUCACCAGUGAAGCUCCAUGUACAUGCUUAUAGUACACAUUGCGCUCGCUUGUGUAGUUGGCAUACAACUGAAUUGGGGUAUCACACUGCAAAUACUAUUUCAGUUUUUGUUUUGCAGGUUGACAAUUGCAGUUAUCUUUAUGCACCAUUGUAUAAUAUGAACAAGCACUGAUAAUAUGCUAAUUAAGACUAUUCUGUAAGACCAAAAAAGGAAGCAGAAGUUAUGUAAUCAGCAUAAACCGAAGGUAAAGAGGGAGACCUCGGAUAUAAAUGCUUCGAUUUCAGGCUUUGAAAGGUCCUUGUAAAGAGCUUCAGUAAUCUCCUUCUCUUUUUCUUCAAGCAUCUUUGCAAUAUUCUCCAACUGUGACCUUCUCCACUCAUAGCUUUUCGUCCUUCCCGAAUUGAAACUCUUUCGCAGCUCCUUAACUAGAAGACCAGCUUUUUCCGGAUUGAAUGUUUGCUUUGCUUCUUCAACCUCCGCGGUUACAGCCGACAGAGUUGCAGAACAAGGUUUAGUGCUAAAAACAGAACAAACAAGAAUCAGAUACUACGCGUACAUACAUACAUACAUACAUACAAACAUACAAUUUCGACGAAACUAAUGAAUGCAUGUUCCCUUGAUUUUUAUGGAAGAAAAAAGGGAAAAGGAGAAGUCUGACUUACGAGUAGGAAGAGCAUGUAAGUUUGGAGGAAGAGAAAUGCUUCUGGUUUUGAUAGUUGCUUCUUCUUCUCUGAAACGGGUGAGUGAAAGCUCUGCUGCUCCGAGUCCCAGUCCCUACCCCAGCAGUACCCGCCAAACCCAAACUGGUUUGGUACCAUCCCACUAUAAUUAGUUAAAUAAACAGAGUAUAUAUGUCGACAUAAAAAGAGUAGAAGAAGGGCAGGGAGUACCUGUAAUUCUUAAAAAGAUCAAUGCAGAGACCUUUCAUGGUUGAUCAGAGAGAGAGAGAGAGAGAGAGAGAGAGAGAGAGAGAGAGAGAUUGAAGGCACUUCUGCUAACUACUGCAGUCUGCAGAUGGAAGUGUUGAAAGCAUCAUCCAGUUGCAUUUGCAUUGGCAUAUAGAAAUAGGAGGAGGACAGCUCCGGAGGUAGGUACCUUGUACAACUUAAAAGGGACCAGCAAGCAACAGUUUUGGUGGGUCCCGAAACAGAAGCAAAGCUACGAGAUUAAAACUAGAGAUACUUUCUCUGCCGCACAUAUUAGAAGGCAAGGCGAUAAGGUUUAACAACAUUAUUGGUGGGGUGCGAUAUUUAUACCCACAGGCGCAAUCCGGCUCCAAAAUGUCUUUACUAACUCUCAGUUUGAAAAAGAAAAAUAAAUUUGAAAUUUAAACAAAAAUCAGAAUUUAUAAAUUAAUAUGCACCAAUUCUCUUACUUCGAUUUAUAAACAUACAAAUUUAAAAUUUUUGUGUAGAAUAAAACUCAUAAUUUGAAACCUCUAAUUCUUAAAUUAUUGGUGGGGUGACAUCAUGGUAAGGAUGUGACCUCUAAUUAUUUUCCUUACCAUCACGUGAAAGUGUGGCCAACAGGAGACAUCAUGUGUACCAAAGCGGACAUAGUUCAAUGCGAGAUGUGAUGUCUCCGUGUAAAACAUGCCUAAUAGAGGUGACGACUGCGAUUGUGCGCACCACACCUCAUGAGGGAGGCAACUUGUCUGCCAUCCCUUCCUAUCCUCUCUUAUUUUGUACGGUUACGGUUAAGUCACGUCAAUAUUUUAUAUUAAUUUUUUUAUAGAGAUAAUAAAACAAAAAACAAUAAGAAUAUAAAAUGUUGACGUGAUUUAACCAUGACCGCACAAAUAGGAAGGGAUGAGAAGGGCACCCAAACAGGAGGGUAGACAAUCUGCCUCCCCUUAUGAGUUGGACUCACGUAAAUCGAUACGACGGACCACUCCCACUUAGCAUAGUUGGUGAGCUCAUCGGGCUAAGGAAGACCCUGCAAGCCUAGAAAGGCUCGCAUAUGAGAUCAACCCAGAAAUGCCUGAUAAGGUAAUAUUCAACAGGAUUUUUAAGAGAUAAUAGUUAAUCAUGGCUCAUACAUAGCCAUGGUCAACAAUACUGUUAAGAGUCGCUCCUAAACGGAACUAGAUCCUCUCCGGAUCCAAAAUGAUCUGAGCCCACUGAGUAAUGCAUUCGGGCCAUUGAAAUUUGAUCCAACGACUACAAUUAUCAUAACUUUAGAAGGGGUCCCCUGUUUGUAACCGUUAGAUCAAAUUUCAACGGUCCGAAUGCAUUGCUUAGUUGGCUCAGAUCCCUUGGAUCCGGAGAGGAUCCAGUUCCGUCCUAAACAUGACUCUUGAUUGAUGCUUGUUUGUAUCUGAUGUUAUAUUAUUGGCCCGUGCAAUCAAGGUUGUUGAAUGAGUAGAGUUUUAGACCGUUUGAUGAAAAGUUAAGAUAAUUUUAUUAUUAUUGAGAGAUAAUAUUAUGGUUUUUAAUCAUGUAAUUAUCUUUUAAUAAUGAAUUAUCUUGACAUUGUACAAGAUAAAUGAAAUUCAUAUUAUAUCUCCAAUUUGAAAGCACAAUUGGUUUGGGAUGUUUGCAUGUGGCGUCUGGCUGAGUCUUGAUUUUAUCUUAUGGUAAGGAUGUGACAAGUGAUUUUUUUGUUUUGUUUCAGCAAUCGAGAUUAUUUAUACUAAAAAGGUGGGAGAAUGGGCUAAGUCUCAUAAUAGAUUAACAAUAAUGUGGUUUAAAUUUACAUUUAGCGAGAACUUAACAUAAGAUCUUUUACUUAUAAGUGAAGAAAAAUACUACUAGACCGUAAUACUAAGUGGUUGGAUGAGAUAAUAUCAUGCAAUUGCUGCAUGCAUGGGUUAAAGGCCAUCAAAGAGGAUUAGCAUGGGAUUGUGAUCUAGUUUGGUUAGGAGUAUUGGCAUGUUGUGGUAAAGAUAGGCUUUAGCUUGGGAGAUCAGGAUCCUCUCCUGAGCUAAGGGUAAGGAUCCUCAUGAGCAAGCCUAUCGGACGGUUGAAAUUUUGUCCAAAUGUUACAAUUAUUAUAACUUUUAGAAGGGCCCCCUGUUUGUAGCCGUUGGAUAAAAUUUCAACGGUCCAAUGGGCUUACUCAGGAGGAUUCUCACCCUUAUCUCAGGAGAUGAUCCUGAUCCUAGCUUGGGAAAAGCAAGUCUGACAGAUUGAAUUUGAGAAGCAAAUUGGCAUGAGAUUAUGAUGAUGGAUCAGGAUCCUUUCCUGAGCAAAGGAUGAGGAUCCUCCUGACCAAACCCAUCGAGCCGUUGAAAUUUUAUCCAACAGCUACAAACAGGGAGGGGCCCUCUAAAAGUUAUAAUAAUUGUAGCAUGUUUAUACCAUACUUAGGGCCUCCGUAUUUAGAUCUUGUACAAAUACUCGGGGGACUUAAAUGUAAUUAUGUAAUAAAGGAAUGGGCAAAUAUGUAAUAAGUGAGGAACCCUUAUUCUAUAAAAGGACUCAUCACCCUCACAAUUAGGGAAGGCCAAUUCCUAAGGCUCCUCACCCCCUUAAGCUCUCACUCUCAGAGCCUCUCAUAUUCAUUAUAGAGGCUCUCUCUCUCCCCCUCAAUAUCAGUAUAGACCUAGCCCAAACCUUGGGGUGAACCACGAUACAUCUUGUGUCAUUUACAUGACUUGCAGAUUCACGGUCAGAUUUACGUUGUUCCAAGACCUUCGGUUUUGUGCAUCAACAUUUAGCACCGUCUGUGGGAAUUGACACGAAAAGUUAUGUCGGUUCUCUUUCAUUUUUUUACCUUCACCGUAAAUCUGCAAAAUCUGCAAAAAUCCAACAACCCAAAGCUUUCCUAGAAAAACUCAAUAAACCAGUCCCCCACAAACACAAAAUCAGUUGACUCACUUCCUGCUUCAGUCUCAUCUCUCCCUAUCUCUAUACUUUAUCUCUCAUCUGCAUACCUGUAACGAAUAAGCUUGUUAAUGGAGUCUCAGAUCUAAUCUAGACGACGUUGUUUCCCUUUCCUCUGCUUCCUCUUUCUCUUUGGAAAACACAUUGAAACUAAAUAAAAACCCAUUUCGAAUUCCUAUCUAUGGGGCCAUUUCCUUCGUUUUUCUCCGGCCUGCUUCAAAUCACGUCAGAGAGUCGGAGAGGGUGGCAGUGAGCGGAGGAGCUGGUGGUAGCUGGCGGAGAAAGUGAGAAAAAAGAUGGGGACUUUAGGACGAGCAAUAUACAUUGUCGGAUUCUAGAUUCGGGAGACGGGCCAGGCCAUUGAUCGCCUCGGCAACAGCCUCCAGGGCAGCUAUUACUUUAAAGAGCAGCGGGCUGUUUGGUUCGCAUUUCGUAUUGAUUUCGACAUCGCAGCUGUUGAAUUAGCAUGAAGUCUAGGGCUUUGCUUUUCAUUUGAUUUGAUAGAUUUUUGGAGCAUUUCUGAGUAUUGGAAGCAAUUAGGUCUUCGUAAAUGUGGUAAAUUGGUGGCUUUUCGGUGUGUUUGACACAAUAGAAGCAGACAUCUCUAAAGAUGGGAGUGCCAGCUAUUUGACGUUGUGAUAUCGACGGUGGGUUUCCUGCAAACUGCAGACCAAACCAUGAUCAUUACAGCCAUCAAAGAAGCUGGCAAUAUCAAGAGAUUUUUUCCCGUUGGAGUUUGGAAACCAAAACCACAACCGCCAGGUUUGAUAUUCACACCGCCGCUGCCGUCAAACUUUGGCCGGAAAGCUACCGGAGUCCGAUUCAAGCAGGCUGCAAGUGUUCACAUUUCUAGUGAGAACAGUAACAUGGAUAAGCAGCAGGAGGAACCCACUCUGAAAACUGGCAGCGCACAGACAGAUAGAGACAGAGACGCAGUGGAAAACAAAAGGAAAAGAGAAAAAGAAAAAGAAAAAGGAUGAGUGAUGGGCACAACCAGGCUGUCCAAGAAAAACAAGUGGUUUGCAAGCAAAAGAUACCUUACAAAGCAACAUGGAUGGACAGAGAAUGAGCGGGGAGGAAAGCAAAAGCAAGGAAUAAACAUCCCAUCAGAAUGAUAUGAUUUACUUUCCUUGUUUUUGAAUGAUGUAAUUUAUUUUUCUUAUCUGUCGGAGACAUCUGUAUAAACCCCAUUAAAGGGUAAAAAAAAAAAAGCAAAGUCUAAAAUAAAUGGGCUGGAAUGUUAUGUAGAGGGUGAAAGCCCAUAAGCCCAAAAUAGCUCCAACCAGGGGAUCAAAAGUAUGUCCAGUACUCCAAAACUAUUCGGCAACCUGCCGCUAUUACCACCAACCAGGUGAUCAAAAGUACGCCCAGUACUCCACAAUUAUUCGGCAACCUGCCGUUAUUACCACCAACCAGGUGAUCAAAAGUACGCCCAGUACUCCAAAACCAUUCGGCAACCUGCCGCUAUUACCAUCAACCAGGUGAUCAAAAGUACGUCUAGUACUCCCAAAUCAUACAUGAGCAUCACUUAUUCAAUCAUACAUAAACAUUCAUGAGCAUCACUCAUGUCAACAUUCAUGAGCACCACUCACGUCAACAUUCAUGAGCACCACUCACUUCAACAUUCAUGAGCAUCACUCAUGUUAAUCAAUAUAAACAUUCAUGAGCAUCACUCAUGUCAAUCAACAUAAACAUUCAUAAGCAUCACUCAUGUCAAUCAGCUUCAAAAGCUUUAUUUAUAGAGCUCCACCUUCAAAAGCUUCAUUUACAGAGCUUCAGCUUCAAAAGCUUCAUUUACAGAGCUCAAGCUUCAAAGCUUCACUUGCAAAGCUUCACCUACAAAGCUUCAGUGCAAGGUAUACAAAUACCACCUCCGAACAACCGCCACUUCGGCCCAUACACGGAUUUAAUUUGAAGUCUCCAGCCAACAGACUCUAUUGACUGAAGACUUGGGGGACUACAUUAUGUACUAUAUAUUGGGCCUCAACUGGGCCUCAUAAAAAAUACUUGGGGGACUUAGCCCAUUAUUUAUGUACUGAGGAGUGAGCCCAUAUUCUAUAAAAGGGACUCCAUCGCUUUCAUUAGAGAUCACCCAUCACUUAUGUAUUGAGGAGCGAGUCCUUAUUCUAUAAAAGGGACUCCCUCACCUUUAUUAGAGAGUAUCGUCGCCAGCUGAGCAACCGCAUCGCCGCGAGCAUCACUCUUAGCCCAUCACUUAUGUAUUGAGGAGCGAGCCCUUAUUCUAUAAAAAGGACUCCCCUCACAUUUAUUAGAGAGCAUCGCCGCCUACUGAGCAACCGACUCUCUGUGAGCAUCACUCAUAACCUAUCACUUAUGUAUUGAGGAGCGAGCCCUUAUUCUAUAAAAGGGACUCCCUCACUAUCAUUAGAGAGUAUCGCCGCCUACUGAGCAACCGCGUCGCCACGAGCAUCGACUCUAGCCCAUUAUUUAUGUACUGAGGAACGAGCCCUUAUUCUAUAAAAGGGACUCCCUCACCUUCAUUAGAGAGCAUCGCCGCCAGCUGAGCAACCGCAUCGCCAUGAGUAUCACUCCUAACCCAUUAUUCAUGUACUGAGGAGCGAGCCCUUAUUCUAUAAAAGGGACUCUCUCACCAUCAUUAGAGAGCAUCGCCGCCUAUUGAGCAACCGUCUCUCCACCAACAUCGACUCUAGCCCAUCAUUUAUGUAUUGAGGAGCGAGCCCUUACUCUAUAAAAAAAGACUCCUUCACCUCCAACGCCACAAGCCAAGCCAACCAAGGCAACAUAAGCCACAAGCAGAGCAGCCUCGCAACAUGUGCUACUUCUGGUUGAGCAUCAUUUCAAAUUAGGCACCACCUCAUAUCGAGUAUCAGUUCUAAACGACAUCUAGUUAUUUCGGCCCAUACAUGGACUGAAUUUCAAGUCUUCAGCCAAAAGACUCUCUUGACUGAAGACUUAAGGGACUACUGUUUAUAUCAUACUUAGGGCCUCUGUAUUUAGAUCUCGUACAAAUACUUGGGGGACUUAAAUGUAAUUAUGUAAUAAAGGAAUGAGCAAAUAUGUAAUAAGUGAGGAUCCCUUAUUCUAUAAAAGGACUCCUCACCCUCACAAUUAGGGGAGACCAAUUCCUAAGGCUCCUUACCCCCUCAAGCUCUCACUCUCAGAGCCUCUCAGAUUCAUUACAGAGGCUCUAUCUCUCCCCCUCAGAUAAAUACAAUAUCAGUGUGGACGUAACCUAAACCUUGGGGUGAACCACGAUACAUCUUGUGUCAUUUACAUUACUUGCAGAUUCACGGUCGGAUUUACGUUGUUCCAAUACCUCCGGUUUUGUGCAUCAACAUAGCUGUUGGAUAAAAUUUCAACGGCCUGAUGGGCUUGGUCAAGAGGAUCCUCACCCUUUGCUUAGGAUAUGAUCCUAAUCCUAUGAUGAUGGGAUGAAGAUGAAAUAAAAUGCAAAAGAAAAACUGAUGUGAUUAGACCCAUGGAAUAGAUUGGGUUCAGAGUUCUGAUUUUGGUAAGAUUCGACCGAACCUUGAGUAACUCAAUUUCUAUAAACUAGCAUUCAUGCACGCGCUCACGCACGUGUAGAAGGUAUUUUUUGAAUCACGGCGUGCUAAGCGCGAUUUACACGUUUUAAAUAUAUUUAUAUGCAUAAAUUGACAAAAGUAAAGUCAAAUAUUUGAAGUAAAUGAAUAAUCUUAUAUCAUACUAGAAGAAACAUCUCAUAAACCAAUUAAAGCAGCUGAAUUCACAUAAUAAAAUUGGUCUUGAUAGAAUUUACAUUAAGAAUAGAGAAAAUAAUAUUUAAUAAACAAUUGAUUGAAUCACAUUAUUGCUAGCCUAUUGUGAGGCUAAGCCCACCCCCUCUCCCUUAGUGUAGAUAAUAUCGUUUGUUAAAAAAAAAAUCAUUUGACAACUAAUUUAAUCACAUUAUUAUCUGUGUGCGAAAGACCUUUUUUAUAACCAGCAUUUAAUAAACAAUUGAUUGAAUCACAUUAUUGUUAGCCCACCCCCUCCACCUUAAUAUAGAUAAUAUUGUUUGUUAAAAAAAAAAUCAUUUGACAACUAAUUUAAUCACAUUAUUAUCCGCGUGCAAAAGAGCUUUUUUAAAACAGGCAUUACAUGCCUCUUAAGAUAUUUUGAACGUGUUUAAAAAUAGAGAAAAUAAUAUUUAAUAAACAACUGAUUGAAUUACAUUAUUGCUAGCUCAUUGUGAGGCUAAAUCCACCCCAUCUCCCUUUAGUGUAGAUAAUAUUGUUUGUUAAAAAAAAUCAUUUGACAACUAAUUUAAUCACAUUAUUAUUCGUGUGCAAAAUACUUUUUUUUUAUAACCGGCAUUACACGUCUCUUAAGAUGUUUUGAAUGUGUUUAAAAUAGAGAAAAUAACAUUUAAUAAACAAUUGAUUGAAUCACAUUAUUGAUAGCCCAUUGUGAGGCUAAGCCUACCCCUUCCCCCUUAGUGUAGAUAAUAUCGUUUGUUAAAAAAAAAUAAAAGUCAUUUGACAACUAAUUUAAUCACAUUAUUAUCCGUGUGCGAAUGGCCUUUUUUAUAACCAGUAUUACACGCCUCUUAAGAUGUUUUGAAUGUGUAAAAAAAAAACAAUCACUUAAUAACUAAUUUAAUCACAUUAUUAUCCGCGUGCGAAUGACCUUUUUUAUAACCGGCAUUACAUGUCUCUUAGGACCUUUUGAACAUGUUUAAAAAUAGAGAAAUUGAAUCACAUUAUUGCUAGCCUAUUAUGAGGUACUAAUUAUAAAAAAAAUAAAAAAUAAAAAAUGAAAAAACACAAACACACACACACACAAAAUUUAAUUAUUAAAAAAAUACUUUUAAAAUGAUGAAAAUGCCCCUACCUUAUUUGAUGCAUUAUUUUGGGAUGCUUUUGAAGUUUUUUGUUUUGAGGGCAUUUUUGUCCAAUUAUUUUUGUUGAAGCUUGGUGACACUGAAACACUAUUUACCUUUUCUUCUCUCUUUAUAUAUAAUAGAUACAGAAGCAUCAACAAUGUGGAAGAUUCUUUUCAAAUCAACACACAAAUUUGAUUUGCGCAAACUUUCGCUCAACCAGCGACAUUCAGUUUAGAUAAACAACACUGGAACCGUAAAAUAAGGCUACCGAUGAGCACUUUCAGUUUGGAUAAAUAGCACUGCUUUGAGACUGACUGAUUAUCUAUCUAAGUCUCGGUCAACAAGGAAAAUCUCUGAAUCUCUAUUGGAAUAGGUCACUUCAUUAGCUUUUCGAUGAGUGAGGUGUUACCAAAUUGCUUAGUAUUCGGCACAUUGAAACCUAAAUCUAAUAUUGAACUUGAUAGUAGCUAGCAGCCUUAUCUUCAAGCUUUAGAAUUCGAAGGCUGAGACAUGUUCCUUCACUGGUCGCAAUUGUAAGAUUUAGAAGUCAUCACACCCAAUGCCACAACACUCAUGCACUCCCCGAGCAAUUUACUUAGAACCUACUAUUCUUUCUGGUUUUUGGUUCUUAAUCUUAUUUUAUUAGUAGCCAUGAUUGGAGCUAUAGUACUUACUAUGCACAGCCUCACAUGACUACAAAGGUGAAAAGACAUGAUGUAUGCUGAAGAAAUGUUAUUGAUUUUAAAAGGAUGAUGGCAUGCCCCACAUUCAACGAAGAAUGUAGUUAGUUUAUUAGUUGUUUGGCAUGCGCGCCUCAUAGACUAAACAGUUUUUAGGGUCAACAUUGCCCUUAUCGCGUCUCCCAUAGUCAACCGUCGUUUGCUAAAUAGGUGGGAAACAUGGAGUCAGACCAACCACUUAGAGAGCAUCACGUGUGCCCUAACGAAUCAUUUUCAAGCCCAUGCCAAACUUUAUGAAAGGCAUGUUCAUUUCCAUGUGAAACUAACCGUUCCUUGGCUAAGAAUCUCAUAAUUUGAGAUUCAUUUUCUUAAAGUUAAGUCUAACUUGACAUCAACAAGCUUUUGUUAUCUCCAACCGAAUGAGGCCCUGAUGACUCGUUUUAGCCCUUUGGCCCUCCAAUAAAUUAAUAUUUUAAUGAACAGUGUAGGGCCAUAUUUCUUACCAUCUCCAACUGAUGGCUAAAGGGCCAUAGGGCUCAAUUUAGCCCUGUCACAAAAAACUGUCUCCAACCGAGGGCCAAACAUAAUUUAUUAUUUAAAUUUAAAAACUACAACUUAUAUUUAAAAACUACAAAUUAAAUUUAAAAACUACAUUAACAUAAAUUUAAAAACUACAACAACUUAGAUUUAAUAUCCAUAAUCAACAUCAUCUUCAUCAUCCGACAUUGUAGGAGUAUAGUCAGAGGUAAACAACUACCGUCGGGUCCUAAUGUCUUUUUUUUUCCUAUCAAAAUAGGCCUUACUCGUUGGAGUGUAAUUCGAAGUGUUCAUUCUUAUUAUCCAUCUCUUCUUGUAUUUGUUUGGCCCGUUCUUCAUGCCUACAGUUCCUUUCUUCCGCGACAAUGGCAUUUUGCUCCGUCAUUAAUCGCAAUGAGGCCGCCACUUCUUGUUGAGCGGCAUAAUCAUCAUUCGCCUUGCCUUUUUCCUUCAACCUUCAGGCCUUGUUUCGUCUCAUAGCCCUAGGUAUGGAACCUUCACCCGAAGACGGAUUUUCUACCCUUAUUUGUUGAAUGGUAAGAGAUCCAUCUUCAUCCAUAUCUACAGCUGAGGAUGCAGUUCCGAACACCAGCGUAGGACCUACUCCAUGUUGAGGUGGAUCUUCAAAUAACACUCACCCUUUACAAAUUUCCCAAUAACCGUGAAACUGAAAGGGUUUCGAGCUGCCUUCCAUAUACAAUUCCUCUGCUUGGCGUACCUAGAAAAUAUAAUUACAAAAAUUAAAGGAAAUUAAUUUAUGAAAUUAAAUGUAAUAUAAUUACAAAAAUGAAAGGAAAUUAAUUUAUGAAAUUAAAUGUAAUAUAAUUAAAUAUUUAAAAUAAAUUGUGGAAACACUUAUUUCGUUGUAGUAAUUAGCGCCACUUUCAUGUCUACUUGCAGUUGCUAACAGUGCUUGAUGCCAUUUGUUCAAACUUGGCUGAAGACGUUUCUUCCAUCUUGAAGAACAACUCUUGUGGUUUCGGUUAUUCGGUGGAGUGGUGCUUUUGUAGAACUCUAAGUAUUUUUUGGACACACAAGUCCAAACACCUUUAUUUGUUUGAGAACUCCCCCUCACACUAUCUUCCGACACCUAUCUAUAAGCCCUGCAAAUGGCUUUAUCUUCAUUUCGGGUCCAAGCCCUACCUUUCAUUGUAGACAAGGCCAUUUGAAAAUUAUUGAAAAAAUUGAAGGAAAUAUUUUUGGAAGAGGUAAGAAAAUUUGAGAAUUGAAAUGGUGUAGGAAUGGUGAAAAAUUUGUGAGGUAUGGUGAAUGAAAGAUUUAGGUAUUUAAAGGAAAAAAUGAGAUUUUUUUCAAAAAAAUUUGGCCCAAAAAAAAUUCAAAAAAAUUCAAAAACCAACGGUAACUGACGUCAUCUAGCCGUUGGGGAUUCAAAAUGGAGCUCAGCCUGGCGCUGGCUGGCUGGCUCAUUUGGGCUGCCCGGUUGGCCCUUUGGCCUUUUUUGUCCAGUGGGGCCCACUAGCCCUCGGUUGGAGACUGUUUUCGGGCUAUUUUCGACCCUGUGGACCCUUCGGUUGGAGAUGACCUUAUGUACCAAAGUGGACCUAGUCGGAGAGAUUACGCCUAAGGUUUGACCAAUACUUAACACUCUAUGUGGGUUGAGUAUUAAAUGCGAGAUGAGAUGUCUCCCUGCAGUCACGCCUAGUAAAGGUGAUAACUACCAGUGUGCACACCACACCUCAUGUGAUGGACUCAUGUAAAUCGAUACGAUGGACCGCUCCCACUUAAGCAUAGUUGGUAGGCUAAUUGGGCCAAAGAAGACUUUGCAAGCCUAGAAGGGCUCACAAAUGAGAUCAACCCAGAAAUGCCUGAUUAGGCAAUAUUCGAUAAGAUCUUUAAGAGAUAAAGGUUCUGUCAAUCAUGGCUCAUACAUAGCCAUGACCACUGCUACUGUUAAGAGUCAUUCCUAAACAUGACUCUUGAUUGGUGCCUGUUUGUAUCUGGGGAUGGGCAAAUACCCAUUGGUUAUGGGUAACCGCGGUUACCAGCCCAUUUAAAUUAAACAGUUACGGUUAUGCGUAAAAUCGUUUACCCGCGAAAUUUAAAUGGGUGGUUAUGGGUAUUAACCGCGGUUAUAAACGGGUAAUCAUUUACCCAUUUAUUUUAUAUAUGUAAAACUAACACAAACUAUGUUCUCGAUCCAAUAAUACUUAGCACCCAAUAAAUUAGCAAGGAAUUCAUCGGUCCUUCUCUCAAUAACAUUGCUACAGGAAUGAUGAUUCUCAUAAUCAAGGAAUUGGCCAAAUUAAUUUAAAUUCCUUGCGGGUAACCGUGAAAUUGACAAAAAUGCUUUGACAGAAAUGUCUUCUAAACAAUUUUUGUAACCCAAUAAUACUUAGCAAAUAUUAUAUUUACCUUCAUUGGCAACAAUUAAAAAUAUCGUUUGUAAACUAUUAUUUCAAUUAUUUGAAUGAUAUAAGGACUUAAAAAAUUAAAAUAUGAAAAUGUAUGAUGAAUAUACCUAUAACGGUGUUUAAUUGUCAAAAAAAAGAAAAUUAUGACAAUUUUUUUUAAUUUUCAUGUUGUUAAAAAACAUGUAGAUGGAUGAAAAAGGGUAAUAGUAAAAAAAAAAGAUAAACGGGUUAAAAAGGAUAAAUGAGUAAACGGGUAUUAAACGGGUACGGUUAAAUGGUAUGCGGUUAUGAGUAUGGUUAACUGUUUAUAAAUGGUUAUGGGUAUGAAUAUAACCGUUUAGGCAAUUACCCAACGGGUAAACGGUUAUGGGUAAAUAACCGCAGUUACCCGCCCACCAUAACCGUUGCCCAUCCCUAUUUGUAUUCGAUUUUAUAUCAUCGGCCAUGCAAUCGAGACCGUUCAAUGAUUAGAGUUCAAAACUGUCGGAUGAAAAGUUAAAAUUGGAAGGGAAACACUUGUUCUCAAUAUGAAACCUACUUAUUUAUUCAUUUCUUGUGUUUUAGUAAGCGAAUAAUUUGUCAAACAUUUGUAUGAUAUCCCCUACUUUGCAUUCCCAUUCUUUGUAAGUGAACAAUCCGUAACUAAGAACAUUCAGCUUGUGUUUUGUUGUUUUCAUCAGGUCUCAUUCCAUCAUGUUUUUCAUCUUUGUGGCGAACGCUUUAGAUUCUUGACAUAAAUUGUAUGGUACCCCAACUUUGAUUUCAAAUCCCUUCCAGAUACGUUCAUGUGUGUUGGGAUGGAGAAAGGAGAAAUUAGGUUGCUAUGAGAGUUUUACAAAUUAUCCUUUAUUCAAUCGAAAAAAGAAAAAAAAAAAAAACCUACUAGGCCGAUCCACAACCUUUUAUUGAUUUGUCAUUUAUGAAGUAAGAUCUCUUCUCCAAAUUUAUUUUCUUUUCAUUUUCUUUCUAUUUAAACGGACAUGAUUAAGUCACGUUAACAUUUUGUACUGAUAUUUUUAUAGGAAAAAAAAGAAGAAGAGAAAAGUGAGAGAGGAGGGACUGAAGAUGAGAGAAUUUAGGUACUGUUUGGUAUAUGGGACGAGACGAAACGAAGUGGAACGAGGCGUUCCGUCCCACGUUUGGUGCGCCUAAAACGGAUGGAACACGUUGUUCCACGGGACGAAUUUUGGAUGAAUUUUAGUUCCGCCUCACCGCCUAGAACGACUCUUCCACAUCCGUGGAACACAAAAUUAUAACCUCUCCACCUCUUUCUUCUUCCUCAUUGUUUCCAUCCGAGGACAUCUUUACUCCCUUUCCGUUCCGUCCCAUCCAGUCCUGUCCCUCUGCAUAUACCUUAGAGAAGAGAGAAUCUUGGUCCGUCUUUUAUAAGGUGGUGUGGAAAUAAGUUAUAAUGCACAUAGACGUUUGCAAAUUACUAAAUUUGCCGUGGUAAAAAGUAACCCGGUUUGUGGAAGAUAAGGAGUUAAGACGGAAAGAGUGAGAGAAAAGGUAAAGGCAAGAUGCUGCCACUAAAGCUGGUGCGCUCUCUUGUGUUUGGAGAAACCAUCAACAACAACCCUCUCCUUCUUCCCCAACAUCACGACGACGACGACGACGACAAUGGCAGUCACAAACAAACGGGCGGCGGAGGAAGAAGCAGAAGCAGCAGCAAAUCGAGAACCCCAUUUCUCCUAUUCCUCCCAACCAAAGAGAUUGUCACUGACACUUACAGACUUGCCACCAUAGCCAGAGACAUGGGCAUGGACUUGCAUCCAACCCCAUCUCUCUCCCACAUCAUUCUCUCCUUCCCGCCUCCGCCGCUGUCCUCCUCCUCAUCUCCCUCUACAGCAUCGCCGUCCUCAUUUCCAUCGUCGUGGUCCUCAUCGUCGCUGUCGUCAACGUCUUUACCCGACGACGCGGUUCCCCUCCCCUUCCCCUGUCUCUCCGCCGCCCCAAUUUCCCAUCUUCGCGCAUUUGUCAAGCUCUCCAAAGGCCUUUUCAAGCUGGUUUUUGUGCGCUCCGAUUGCAAACCCAGUGAGGCAAAUAACGUUGGCAGUCAAAGCAAUUGGAAUUGCAGCUCAAUGUCGCUGUUUUCGCGGCUCACCGGUGACAGAAUUGAUACAAUGGAAGGGUUUUCCCGGGCUUUGGCGGGACUGGGAUGGACCCUUUUCAAGACCAAGGAAAACCCAGCAACGGAUUCGAGGGACAGGAGAGUUUUCGGUGGCAGACCGGUGUAUCUAUUUAGAAAGGUGGAUACAAACAGGGUUAGAGCUUGCGCGGUUGGGGAGUGUAGGAUUCGGGAGUUGAGGCUGCCCCCACUGGAUUUUAGGAAUGCCCCUUUGAGGAUUUUGCACUACAUUCUUCUUAUGACUGAUGAUAUCUUCUAUCUUGCAUAAACAACAAAAAGGUGUGUCUUGCCACCUCUGACUGUUUUGUGUUUUGUUUCUUCAUUUCGACGUCGGUUGUAAUCUCCUUAUACUUUGUGUGUAGUGAUACUAUGCUAAGAUAUUAUCAGUGAAUCAUAUAUCUUUUUGGAGUUUUCUAGCCAAUGUAUGCCAACCGUUGCCUUGAAUUGGAUCGUUUUGGUGUUUUGAACGUAUAAAUGUCUAGGAAGGAUGAGCCAUCCUUGGCUCGCCCCGGAAUCAAAACGAAAAUUAAGUUUGCUUUUGUGUUAUUGCAAUAGGGAAUUCAAGGAUGACAUCAUUUGAAACUUACAAGCAUCCGAACAGUGGUUUAAAAUUUCUCAUCAUGUUUUUGGAAGGCAGAUUGAAUUGACACUAGUUUAAGCCUAAGGGUGAUGGUGCAGCGGUUUAAAAUUUCUUAUGCAUUGUGUUUUUUGGAAGGAAGAUUGACUUGAUUCUAGUUCAUAGUUUAAGGGUGACAAUGGUUAAAUCAUAGUUUUGGGAACAAAUUGACAUGAGACUAAAGCAGAAGGGGGUUAUUUUAUAAUUUUUUAUUUCGUUUAUCCUGAGAUUUGAAAUAUCAUGAGUAUACUUAUUAUUUCUAGUACCAUGACUCUUGAGAUGACUCUUGAGCCUGUGGAUGCACAGUAAUUUAAAAAAAAAUAUGGAAAAAGGAAGAUGAAGAAAAACGUAUGCUUGCUCACCCGAUGUCUCUGGGGGUGGACUGAUUGCAGCCAUAAUCAGUCCAACAAUUGUAACUAGUUUACAACUUGAAGAACGUAAACCGAAUGAAAAUGAAAACCCAUGAGAGCUGUUUAGGAAAAUGGCCAUGUUUGGCAAAAGAAUACAAAGAGAACCCAUCAGAGAAGUUCUUUCUUUUUCAUUUUUCUUAUUUUUGUCUCUUUGCUGCACUGGAUCGGCUAAAUUUUCAUAGCUAUCUCCUUCCCUCAUCUUACUUUCUCUCACUAACUCUUUAUCUCUCUUUCUAGGGAUGUUCAUGGCAGCUUGACCCUUCCUCUCUAUGAAGGGUUACCAAAAUUGGCCACCGUCUAUUCCUUCAAAGAUAUGAUUUUCUUCAAAGGUACCUAUUUAACUUUUUCUUGAAUCAUCGGAAAAUAUGUUAUGGGGGAUUUUUUCAACUUUCCUUGCCAUUUGUAAUUAUGAAUUGGUGAGGGAUCACUGAAUUGAGUUUUUUAUUUUUCAAUUUUGUUUUAGUAAACCUCACCAUUUUUAAAUGAUAGUUGUGAUUGGGCGAGGUUUCAGUUAUAUGUAUUUAUCUUCUUGUAGACCUCACUAUUUGUAAACUACUUAUGCCAUCAUGUGGGUAUCAAAUUCUCUUCUUUCUGUUAGUAAAGGUUUUUAAGGAUCUUUAAAAUGUGGGAUCCGUUUCUUAAAAACUAGGACUAGAAGUAUGAAAAUGGACUGAAAUGAGAGGAAAACUGGGGCCAUAAUAUUUGAACUCUCACUCUAUGUGCUACAACGACUCUAAAAUAUUGUGGUACAAUCAUGUGGAUGUGGGUAUUCCAAACAUGAUGACAUGUUAUUGCUCAUUAACCUACAAGUUGACAAAUUUAGUAUUGUAAAGAUUAGGUGGUUAGGAUAGGCCUGCGUGGUUCACUUCAAUCGUAAUGAGGUGUGUUCGCUGGUUUGGCUUUGUGGUUUUGUUUCAAGUGUGAUUUAGUAAGUGGAUGACAUUUUGAAACCUGGAAGUUCCAUGAGUAGGUAUUACAAACUUUCCUUCUUAUUUUUACUAAAGAACAUGUGACAUUGGAACCAUCCAAAGGGGAAAAUGGGGGAAGAGUCGUUGAUGAGAACGGGUAGGACUAGGAGGGGGUUAUCGAGAAAAUAGCCUGAAAUAAGUAGGAACGUGUAAGUGGAUAAGAGUGGUGGGUAAAUAUAAUAGUAUGUGAUGAGGUGCCCUAAUUCUGAUUAUGGGGUUAGCAAGUGACCACAUUAGUAAAGUUAAUAGAAGUCAGAAUUUUUACUCUCUUCGGACAUUGGGAUAAAAUUUUCUGGAGGAACACAACUUUAGAUUGUACGGAUCAAAUACAGUAGUGGUCAUAAUUCAAGGUCUAUCAAUGUAACUUAGCUAAAUAAAUAUGAAGUUCACAUUUUUUAUUACAAAGAAACCGUACGUAUCAUAAAAAUUAACAAACAUAUGAAAGAAUUGUUGUUAGACUCUGAAGUACAACAUGUUGAUGUCUAUGUCUUCCAGAAGCCUAUGCUGAGGAGGAAACUUGGGCAAGCAAUUAGCAAUGUUUGUAGCGGUUUCUAGAUAUAAGGAAAAUUUAGUGAGCAGCUUAUUGUUUCCGUCUUUAGAUGACUUUCCCUGUGUAGCAUUGUCCCCAUGGGUGGGCAAACUAUCGACAUCGAAGUUGAAGUUGGUCUUCCCUAUUAGGUCUUGAAGUGCCUUCUUCUUGUAAGUCCAACUUCCACUUCUCAAACUGAAGUUAUAUAAAGGAAGAAAACGUUGACCAUACAUAGCUAUGAACUCCAGCGCAGCUAAAAUGGACUCCAGUUCAUCGUUUGACAUGUAGUAGGGAAAGCUGAUUCUAGUCCACCCUGGUUUCACUCCGAGAUAGCCCUAUACAUAAUUUUCUUAGAACCCAUAGUAAUCUUAAACUGUGUGUUAAACGUUGAACAUUCUAAGAAAAUGUUUCGUUUCGGACUGUAUGACAUCAUAAGUAAAUCUUAUGUUUGCCGAAUUGGGUAUUUUGACCAUACAUCAGGCUGUGCAAUUUAGAUUUACAGUCUGUCGCCAUAAGUCUGGCAAGAGAACAUUACCCGAGCAUUGAAAACUUAGUGUGGUAGGAGAAGUUG